UACGAAGGGUGCAAACGUUGCUCGGAAUCAUUGGGCGUAAAGCGCACGUAGGCGGCCUCAUAAGUCGGAUGUGAAAUCCCUCGGCUCAACCGAGGAAGUGCAUCCGAAACUGCGAGGCUUGAGUAUGGAAGAGGGUCGCAGAAUUCCCGGUGUAGAGGUGAAAUUCGUAGAUAUUAGGAAGAACACCGGUGGCGAAGGCGGCCCACUGGCUCGAUACUGACGCUGAGGUGCGAAAGCGUGGGGAGCAAACAGG
rnacentral:rRNA from 1 species